GCCUACGGGAGGCAGCAGUGGGGAAUAUUGGGCAAUGGGCGCAAGCCUGACCCAGCAACGCCGCGUGAAGGAAGAAGGCUUUCGGGUUGUAAACUUCUUUUAAGAGGGAAGAGUAGAAGACGGUACCUCUUGAAUAAGCCACGGCUAACUACGUGCCAGCAGCCGCGGUAAUACGUAGGUGGCAAGCGUUGUCCGGAUUUACUGGGUGUAAAGGGAGCGUAGGCGGGGAUGCAAGUUGGGUGUCAAAACUACCGGCUCAACCGAUAGUCGCACUCCAAACUGCAACUCUUGAGUGAAGUAGAGGC
rnacentral:rRNA from 1 species